UACAAAAGCGCGGUGAUUAAUGAUACGUA
rnacentral:sRNA from 1 species